GGUUCCACACGUACCCAUCCCGAACACGACCGUUAAGCCCUCCAGCGCCGAUGGUACUUGGACCGCAGGGUCCUGGGAGAGUAGGACGCCGCCAAGC
rnacentral:rRNA from 2 species